rnacentral:rRNA from 1 species
UACGGAGGGUGCGAGCGUUAAUCGGAAUUACUGGGCGUAAAGGGUGCGUAGGUGGUUAAUUAAGUUAUCUGUGAAAUCCCUGGGCUCAACCUGGGCAGGUCAGAUAAAACUGUUUAACUCGAGUAUGGGAGAGGGUAGUGGAAUUUCCGGUGUAGCGGUGAAAUGCGUAGAGAUCGGAAGGAACACCAGUGGCGAAGGCGGCUACCUGGCCUAAUACUGACACUGAGGCACGAAAGCGUGGGGAGCAAACAG